GGAGGCGGUGGCAUUGGUGAGACGAGAUGAGACUCGCUUGGAUGGCAUGAUAAAGAUAUGCCUUCCUUUAUCUAUUGCUACUUAGUUUGAUUGAGGUCAGAGAGAAGGUGGUGGAACCUUGUGCAGAGAUGCUGGUGCUGGAGUGAUCUGUGAAACAAAUCCAAACCUGAGAUUUUUAUUUCGACGAUGAUCCUCCGAUGCUCAAGUCAGAU
rnacentral:lncRNA from 1 species